UGGGGAAUAUUGCACAAUGGGCGCAAGCCUGAUGCAGCAACGCCGCGUGGGGGAUGACGGCCUUCGGGUUGUAAACCUCUUUUGGCAGGGAAGAAGCCCUUCGGGGUGACGGUACCUGCAGAAGAAGCACCGGCUAACUACGUGCCAGCAGCCGCGGUAAUACGUAGGGUGCGAGCGUUGUCCGGAAUUAUUGGGCGUAAAGAGCUCGUAGGCGGUUUGUCGCGUCUGCUGUGAAAUCCCGAGGCUCAACCUCGGGCCUGCAGUGGGUACGGGCAGACUGGAGUGCGGUAGGGGAGAAUGGAACUCCUGGUGUAGCGGUGGAAUGCGCAGAUAUCAGGAAGAACACCGAUGGCGAAGGCAGUUCUCUGGGCCGUAACUGACGCUGAGGAGCGAAAGCGUG
rnacentral:rRNA from 1 species